rnacentral:snRNA from 1 species
AGCUUUGCGCAGUGGCAGUAUCAUAGCCAAUGAGGUUUAUCCGAGGCGCGAUUAUUGUUAAUUAAAAAUAUAAAAAGACAU